GGUUAAGCGACUAAGCGUACACGGUGGAUGCCCUGGCAGUCAGAGGCGAUGAAGGACGUGCUAAUCUGCGAUAAGCGUCGGUAAGGUGAUAUGAACCGUUAUAACCGGCGAUUUCCGAAUGGGGAAACCCAGUGUGAUUCGUCACACUAUCAUUAACUGAAUCCAUAGGUUAAUGAGGCGAACCGGGGGAACUGAAACAUCUAAGUACCCCGAGGAAAAGAAAUCAACCGAGAUUCCCCCAGUAGCGGCGAGCGAACGGGGAGGAGCCCAGAGCCUGAAUCAGUGUGUGUGUUAGUGGAAGCGUCUGGAAAGGCGCGCGAUACAGGGUGACAGCCCCGUACACAAAAAUGCACAUGCUGUGAGCUCGAUGAGUAGGGCGGGACACGUGGUAUCCUGUCUGAAUAUGGGGGACCAUCCUCCAAGGCUAAAUACUCCUGACUGACCGAUAGUGAACCAGUACCGUGAGGGAAAGGCGAAAAGAACCCCGGCGAGGGGAGUGAAAAAGAACCUGAAACCGUGUACGUACAAGCAGUGGGAGCCUCUUUAUGGGGUGACUGCGUACCUUUUGUAUAAUGGGUCAGCGACUUAUAUUCUGUAGCAAGGUUAACCGAAUAGGGGAGCCGAAGGGAAACCGAGUCUUAACUGGGCGUUAAGUUGCAGGGUAUAGACCCGAAACCCGGUGAUCUAGCCAUGGGCAGGUUGAAGGUUGGGUAACACUAACUGGAGGACCGAACCGACUAAUGUUGAAAAAUUAGCGGAUGACUUGUGGCUGGGGGUGAAAGGCCAAUCAAACCGGGAGAUAGCUGGUUCUCCCCGAAAGCUAUUUAGGUAGCGCCUCGUGAAUUCAUCUCCGGGGGUAGAGCACUGUUUCGGCAAGGGGGUCAUCCCGACUUACCAACCCGAUGCAAACUGCGAAUACCGGAGAAUGUUAUCACGGGAGACACACGGCGGGUGCUAACGUCCGUCGUGAAGAGGGAAACAACCCAGACCGCCAGCUAAGGUCCCAAAGUCAUGGUUAAGUGGGAAACGAUGUGGGAAGGCCCAGACAGCCAGGAUGUUGGCUUAGAAGCAGCCAUCAUUUAAAGAAAGCGUAAUAGCUCACUGGUCGAGUCGGCCUGCGCGGAAGAUGUAACGGGGCUAAACCAUGCACCGAAGCUGCGGCAGCGACACUAUGUGUUGUUGGGUAGGGGAGCGUUCUGUAAGCCUGCGAAGGUGUACUGUGAGGUAUGCUGGAGGUAUCAGAAGUGCGAAUGCUGACAUAAGUAACGAUAAAGCGGGUGAAAAGCCCGCUCGCCGGAAGACCAAGGGUUCCUGUCCAACGUUAAUCGGGGCAGGGUGAGUCGACCCCUAAGGCGAGGCCGAAAGGCGUAGUCGAUGGGAAACAGGUUAAUAUUCCUGUACUUGGUGUUACUGCGAAGGGGGACGGAGAAGGCUAUGUUGGUAGGGCGACGGUUGUCCCGGUUUAAGCGUGUAGGCUGGUUUUCCAGGCAAAUCCGGAAAAUCAAGGCUGAGGCGUGAUGACGAGGCACUACGGUGCUGAAGCAACAAAUGCCCUGCUUCCAGGAAAAGCCUCUAAGCAUCAGGUAACAUCAAAUCGUACCCCAAACCGACACAGGUGGUCAGGUAGAGAAUACCAAGGCGCUUGAGAGAACUCGGGUGAAGGAACUAGGCAAAAUGGUGCCGUAACUUCGGGAGAAGGCACGCUGAUAUGUAGGUGAAGUCCCUCGCGGAUGGAGCUGAAAUCAGUCGAAGAUACCAGCUGGCUGCAACUGUUUAUUAAAAACACAGCACUGUGCAAACACGAAAGUGGACGUAUACGGUGUGACGCCUGCCCGGUGCCGGAAGGUUAAUUGAUGGGGUUAGCGGUAACGCGAAGCUCUUGAUCGAAGCCCCGGUAAACGGCGACUGUAACUAUAACGGUCCUAAGGUAGCGAAAUUCCUUGUCGGGUAAGUUCCGACCUGCACGAAUGGCGUAAUGAUGGCCAGGCUGUCUCCACCCGAGACUCAGUGAAAUUGAACUCGCUGUGAAGAUGCAGUGUACCCGCGGCAAGACGGAAAGACCCCGUGAACCUUUACUAUAGCUUGACACUGAACAUUGAGCCUUGAUGUGUAGGAUAGGUGGGAGGCUUUGAAGUGUGGACGCCAGUCUGCAUGGAGCCGACCUUGAAAUACCACCCUUUAAUGUUUGAUGUUCUAACGUUGGCCCCUGAUCGGGGUUGCGGACAGUGUCUGGUGGGUAGUUUGACUGGGGCGGUCUCCUCCUAAAGAGUAACGGAGGAGCACGAAGGUUGGCUAAUCCUGGUCGGACAUCAGGAGGUUAGUGCAAUGGCAUAAGCCAGCUUGACUGCGAGCGUGACGGCGCGAGCAGGUGCGAAAGCAGGUCAUAGUGAUCCGGUGGUUCUGAAUGGAAGGGCCAUCGCUCAACGGAUAAAAGGUACUCCGGGGAUAACAGGCUGAUACCGCCCAAGAGUUCAUAUCGACGGCGGUGUUUGGCACCUCGAUGUCGGCUCAUCACAUCCUGGGGCUGAAGUAGGUCCCAAGGGUAUGGCUGUUCGCCAUUUAAAGUGGUACGCGAGCUGGGUUUAGAACGUCGUGAGACAGUUCGGUCCCUAUCUGCCGUGGGCGCUGGAGAACUGAGGGGGCUGCUCCUAGUACGAGAGGACCGGAGUGGACGCAUCACUGGUGUUCGGGUUGUCAUGCCAAUGGCACUGCCCGGUAGCUAAAUGCGGAAGAGAUAAGUGCUGAAAGCAUCUAAGCACGAAACUUGCCCCGAGAUGAGUUCUCCCUGACUCCUUGAGAGUCCUGAAGGAACGUUGAAGACGACGACGUUGAUAGGCCGGGUGUGUAAGCGCAGCGAUGCGUUGAGCUAACCGGUACUAAUGAACCGUGAGGCUUAACCUU
rnacentral:rRNA from 1 species